rnacentral:rRNA from 1 species
UACGAAGGGGACUAGCGUUGUUCGGAAUCACUGGGCGUAAAGCGCACGUAGGCGGAUUCGUAAGUUAGGGGUGAAAUCCCGGGGCUCAACCUCGGAACUGCCUUUGAUACUGCGGGUCUCGAGUCCGAUAGAGGUGGGUGGAAUUCCUAGUGUAGAGGUGGAAUUCGUAGAUAUUAGGAAGAACACCAGUGGCGAAGGCGGCUUACUGGUCCGGUACUGACGCUGAGGCGCGAAAGCCAGGGGAGCGAACGGG